UCUCCAAUGACUCAUUUAUUGUUUAAACAUGAUAACACACCGACUCAUUCAUCAGACUGUAAAAUCGUUCAAACACUUGUUAUCCAGGGGCCUAACAGACUGUGAUACUGGUCCACUCAUCUCAUCACCUCUGAAUCAGAGUCCAUUUCGGUUCCACUAACAGACAGUGAUACUGGUCCACUCAUCUCAUCACCUCUGAAUCAGAGUCCAUUUCAGUUCCACUAACAGACUGUGAUACUGGUCCACUCAUCUCAUCACCUCUGAAUCAGAGUCCAUUUCGGUUCCACUAACAGACAGUGAUACUGGUCCACUCAUCUCAUCACCUCUGAAUCAGAGUCCAUUUCGGUUCCACUAACAGGCUCAAAUCAAAAGUCUCCUGUGACGGGGAAGAGAUUCUGUCGGUGAAAUUAAUGAAGUGGCAGGGGGUUGAAGUAGUUAGGUAGGCCGACUAUGGCCUGGUGGUACUUGUACCCUUCAGAUUGUAUUACAGACCAAAUUAAGACACUGGCAGGUUGACUUUCUGGACAGAAUUUAAUCAAACGCCUUUGAAAAUAAUCCCAAACUCUACAGUCGAAUACCCUACUCACAAAUUCAUGACCGUGUAGUAUUUGAGAAUGGAAAUCUCUCUAUGGAAUUUCUGAACAUUAAAUCCAGACCUUUAUUUUGGAUUAAGUCACACUGCCAUAAGGUAAAACGUGGAAUUCCCUUCACAAAACUUCACCUUUCAAAAUAUUUGCUAGAUUGUUUUAUACUUUUUAUUUGAAAGAUAAUACAUGUGUGUAUAUAUAUAUAUAAUACAAAAAGGUUUUAAAGCUAAAAGGGGGGACUUUAAAAAGCCAAAGAAGAUGAGAUGAAAAAGUCCAAGCGUAAUGCAUCAUCAUGAUUCAGUGUACCAGGUAUAAACGUACAGUAGGUGACCUAUAACAGUAUUGGAUACCUCACCACCCCAUUGAACAGGGCUUAACUAAUACAAUUACAUCAUUAGGAGGUCAAAUUAAAUAAAACAUUGAGAUUUUAAAUCUCAAAAGAAACCAAAUUAUUAAAACCCAAAAUAGCACUAAGUAAAUAUAAUGUAACCUCUGGUGAAAGUAUACCUUUAUUUAUUGUACAUUAAAACUAUUAUUCUUGGGAGAUUAUGUAAAAAAAAAUGUUUAAGUGUUUAGGGCAAUUAGAUGUUCAUUCACAUCUUUCUCCUGAAGUUCAUCUGUGGAGAGAGAGAGCAUGUUUUAUUAGAGAGAAGAGAGGAACACCCUGGAUAAUCACCCAGACACCUAAGUGAAUAGCAGGUCUGCAUUGAUGAAAUGAGCCGCCUGUCAAAAUGCAGGAAGUAGUGCUCCCAAACGGCAUGUUAUUACACGGUCCUGCAGACAGUCAGGUGUAAUGUAGCAAACAGGAAGUAGUGCUCCCAAACAGCAUGUUAUUACAGUCCUGCAGACAGUCA
ensembl:lncRNA